CCAACUCCUUCAGUCCGUCCUCAUAGCAGAGCUGCUCCAGCCCUCUGAGCAUCCUCGUGGCCAAGGCCUCCUGCCAGGAGCCUUCUCUGAGUUUCUUAAGAAGCAGACUGCGACAAAACAGGCAUGAAAUGAAAGGAAGUCCACUGGCAAAGCUUUCAACAUCACUGAGUUCACAGUCCCUGGGCAAAGACUUCAGGAAGAAGACAGUAAACUUGGAGUACGUUCCCUGAAGGAAGAUUCUUUGUGAAAAUGCAAUUUCCUUUAUUGUUUUUA